CACGUAGGGCGCAAGCGUUGUCCGGAAUUAUUGGGCGUAAAGAGCUCGUAGGCGGUCUGUUGCGUCCGCUGUGAAAACCCGGGGCUUAACCCCUGGCUUGCAGUGGAUACGGACAGACUAGAGGUAGGUAGGGGAGAACGGAAUUCCUGGUGUAGCGGUGAAAUGCGCAGAUAUCAGGAGGAACACCGGUGGCGAAGGCGGUUCUCUGGGCCUGUACUGACGCUGAGGAACGAAAGCGUGGGGAGCGAACAGG
rnacentral:rRNA from 1 species